UAAUACGGGGGGGGCAAGCGUUGUUCGGAUUUACUGGGCGUAAAGGGCGCGUAGGCGGUUUGUUAAGUCGGAUGUGAAAACUGUGGGCUCAACCCACAGCCUGCAUCCGAUACUGGCAGACUAGAGUGCGAGAGGGGAAGGCGGAAUUCCUGGUGUAGCGGUGAAAUGCGUAGAUAUCAGGAGGAACACCGGUGGCGAAGGCGGCCUUCUGGAUCGCAACUGACGCUGAGGCGCGAAAGCUAGGGGAGCAAACAGGAUUAGAUACCCUGGUAGUCCUAGCCCUAAACGAUGGAUACUUGGUGUGGGGGGAGUUGAAUCUCUCCGUGCCGGAGCUAACGCGUUAAGUAUCCCGCCUGGGGAGUACGGUCGCAAGGCUG
rnacentral:rRNA from 1 species